AUUGAACGCUGGCGGAAUGCUUUACACAUGCAAGUCGAACGGUAGAGGGGGCAACCCCUUGAGAGUGGCGAACGGGUGAGUAAUGUAUCGGAACGUGCCCAGUAGUGAGGGAUAACUACUCGAAAGAGUGGCUAAUACCGCAUGAGAACUGAGGUUGAAAGCGGGGGACCUUCGGGCCUCGCGCUACUGGAGCGGCCGAUAUCAGAUUAGGUAGUUGGUGGGGUAAAGGCCUACCAAGCCGACGAUCUGUAGCUGGUCUGAGAGGACGACCAGCCACACUGGAACUGAGACACGGCCCAGACUCCUACGGGAGGCAGCAGUGGGGAAUUUUGGACAAUGGGCGCAAGCCUGAUCCAGCCAUGCCGCGUGCGGGAAGAAGGCCUUCGGGUUGUAAACCGCUUUUGGCAGGAACGAAACGGCGUCCUCUAAUACGGGACGUUAAUGACGGUACCUGCAGAAUAAGCACCGGCUAACUACGUG
rnacentral:rRNA from 1 species